GUAAUUGAAACUUGGUUCUAAGUUUCCCUCUUGUCCUUUCCUGUUUAAUGAACAGUCAGCUGUCCUGGAAUUUAUUUUUUGGUGGUACUUUGAAUCAGCCCCCCGUGUGAGAAUUCAACAAAAACGCAACUGAUGCAAAGCAUCUGCACUGAGUGCUGCAGGAGGCUUCUCACAUGCUUCGGGAUAUCUUCAGGGAAAUCUGCUCUAUUUAAGAAAGUCUGCCUGGCGGAGGACACCCGCACUUGUUACCUUGAGUUCAUGACUGAAACUGUGGACCCCUCGGUAUUAACAGA
rnacentral:sRNA from 1 species